UACAGAGGGGGCAAGCGUUGUUCGGAAUUACUGGGCGUAAAGGGCGCGUAGGUGGCCUUCUAAGUUGAACGUGAAAUCCCUGGGCUCAACCCAGGAACUGCGUCCAAGACUGGGAGGCUUGAAUCCGGGAGAGGGAUGCGGAGUUCCAGGUGUAGCGGUGAAAUGCGUAGAUAUCUGGAGGAACACCGGUGGCGAAGGCGGCAUCCUGGACCGGUAUUGACACUGAGGCGCGAAAGCCAGGGGAGCAAACGGG
rnacentral:rRNA from 1 species